rnacentral:rRNA from 1 species
CGAACGGUAGCAGGCCUUCGGGCGCUGACGAGUGGCGGACGGGUGAGUAACGCGUAGGAAUCUGCCUGUUAGUGGGGGACAACGUGGGGAAACUCACGCUAAUACCGCAUGCGCCCUACGGGGGAAAGGAGGGGAUCUUCGGACCUUUCGCUAACAGAUGAGCCUGCGUUAGAUUAGCUAGUUGGUAGGGUAAAGGCCUACCAAGGCGACGAUCUAUAGCUGGUCUGAGAGGACGAUCAGCCACACUGGGACUGAGACACGGCCCAGACUCCUACGGGAGGCAGCAGUGGGGAAUAUUGGACAAUGGGCGCAAGCCUGAUCCAGCAAUACCGCGUGUGUGAAGAAGGCCCUAGGGUUGUAAAGCACUUUCAAUGGGGAGGAAAACCUGCCGGUCAAUACCCGGUAGCUUGACAUUACCUAUAGAAGAAGCACCGGCUAACUCCGUGCCAGCAGCCGCGGUAAUACGGAGGGUGCAAGCGUUAAUCGGAAUUACUGGGCGUAAAGCGUGCGUAGGCGGCUCGUUAAGUCAGAUGUGAAAGCCCUGGGCUCAACCUGGGAACUGCAUUUGAAACUGGCGAGCUAGAGUUGAGUAGAGGGGAGUGGAAUUUCAGGUGUAGCGGUGAAAUGCGUAGAUAUCUGAAGGAACACCAGUGGCGAAGGCGACUCCCUGGACUCAAACUGACGCUGAGGUACGAAAGCGUGGGUAGCAAACAGGAUUAGAUACCCUGGUAGUCCACGCCGUAAACGAUGUCAACUAGCCGUUGGUCCUAUUUACAGGAUUAGUGGCGCAGCUAACGCAUUAAGUUGACCGCCUGGGGAGUACGGCCGCAAGGUUAAAACUCAAAUGAAUUGACGGGGGCCCGCACAAGCGGUGGAGCAUGUGGUUUAAUUCGAUGUUACACGAAGAACCUUACCUGGGUUUGACAUGGAGGUGGUAGGGAAGCGAAAGCGGACCGACUCGAAAGUGAGCCUUCACAGGUGCUGCAUGGCUGUCGUCAGCUCGUGCCGAGAGGUGUCGGGUUAAGUCCCGUAACGAGCGCAACCCCUGCCCUUAGUUACACGUGUCUAGGGGGACUGCCGGCGGGAAGCCGGAGGAAGGUGGGGAUGACGUCAAGUCAGCAUGGCCCUUAUGUCCAGGGCUACACACACGCUACAAUGGCCGGUACAAUGGGCAGCGAAGCCGCGAGGUAGAGCGAAUCCGGGCAAAGCCGGUCGUAGUUCGGAUAGCAGGCUGCAACCCGCCUGCUUGAAGCUGGAGUUGCUAGUAACCGCGCGUCAGCUACAGUGCGGUGAAUACGUUCCCGGGGUUUGUACACACCGCCCGUCACGUCAUGGGAGUCGGUAACGCCUGAAGCCGGUAGGCUAGCCCGCAAGGGGGGCCGUCGUCAAA